ensembl:lncRNA
GCUGUAUGGUGGCAGUUGGUUAAGUAACGGUGACUGCACUCUAAGUCGAUGGGUGGAGGACGGAUUGAGAAGGAUGCUGGACUUAUAGACUGAUGGAUGCCAGAUGAACUGUGGGCAAUAGGCGGUGGGUGCCUGGUGGGUGGCUGAAUCGUGGAGGUGUAGAUGGGGGUGGACAAACAGUGUGUGGGCGACUGUGAUGGAUCCAGCCACAGGGGAUGGGUGGGUAGAUGGAGGAUAACUGUGGAGGAUGCAGGAUUUGCAGGAUUGAUGGGCGGGUCAUGAGUGGUGGGCAAGUGGAUGUCACUUGGAAGUUGGAUGGUGGCUGUAUGGUGCACGAGUGGGGAGCAGAUGGCAAAGAAAUGGACAGUUGCUACCUGGAUGGAUAAUGGGGUGUGGAUUUUACCACCUACCUGGAAGUGUUGACAGAAGAAAAAGAAAACAGAUGCAAGAAAGGAUCUCCCUAGGUUAUCCAAAGUUUGAGGCUGACCUCAAACUUACGAUCCUCCUGCUUCAGCUUCCCUGAGUAGCUGAGACUACAGGCAUGUGCCAGUGCACCCAACACCGUUGCUAAAUAUUUGAUGGAAAGCUGUCACACGGUGAGUAAUGCGUGGACAGGUGGCAGAUACAUGCACGGUGAAUGAAUGUUGGACGGAUGGGCGUGUCCAGGAGGUACUGGUGCUUGGUACCUUGUGGGUGUGGCUCUCUGGGCAGACGGG